GCUUAACACAUGCAAGUCGAGGGGCAUCAGGAAGAAAGCUUGCUUUCUUUGCUGGCGACCGGCGCACGGGUGAGUAACACGUAUCCAACCUGCCCUUUACUCGGGGAUAGCCUUUCGAAAGAAAGAUUAAUACCCGAUAGCAUAAUGAUUCCGCAUGGUUUCAUUAUUAAAGGAUUCCGGUAAAGGAUGGGGAUGCGUUCCAUUAGGUUGUUGGUGAGGUAACGGCCCACCAAGCCUUCGAUGGAUAGGGGUUCUGAGAGGAAGGUCCCCCACAUUGGAACUGAGACACGGUCCAAACUCCUACGGGAGGCAGCAGUGAGGAAUAUUGGUCAAUGGGCGCUAGCCUGAACCAGCCAAGUAGCGUGAAGGAUGAAGGCUCUAUGGGUCGUAAACUUCUUUUAUAUAAGAAUAAAGUGCAGUAUGUAUACUGUUUUGUAUGUAUUAUAUGAAUAAGGAUCGGCUAACUCCGUGCCAGCAGCCGCGGUAAUACGGAGGAUCCGAGCGUUAUCCGGAUUUAUUGGGUUUAAAGGGAGCGUAGGUGGACUGGUAAGUCAGUUGUGAAAGUUUGCGGCUCAACCGUAAAAUUGCAGUUGAUACUGUCAGUCUUGAGUACAGUAGAGGUGGGCGGAAUUCGUAGUGUAGCGGUGAAAUGCUUAGAUAUCACGAAGAACUCCGAUUGCGAAGGCAGCUCACUGGACUGCAACUGACACUGAUGCUCGAAAGUGUGGGUAUCAAACAGGAUUAGAUACCCUGGUAGUCCACACAGUAAACGAUGAAUACUCGCUGUUUGCGAUAUACAGUAAGCGGCCAAGCGAAAGCAUUAAGUAUUCCACCUGGGGAGUACGCCGGCAACGGUGAAACUCAAAGGAAUUGACGGGGGCCCGCACAAGCGGAGGAACAUGUGGUUUAAUUCGAUGAUACGCGAGGAACCUUACCCGGGCUUAAAUUGCAGUGGAAUGAUGUGGAAACAUGUCAGUGAGCAAUCACCGCUGUGAAGGUGCUGCAUGGUUGUCGUCAGCUCGUGCCGUGAGGUGUCGGCUUAAGUGCCAUAACGAGCGCAACCCUUAUCUUUAGUUACUAACAGGUUAUGCUGAGGACUCUGGAGAGACUGCCGUCGUAAGAUGUGAGGAAGGUGGGGAUGACGUCAAAUCAGCACGGCCCUUACGUCCGGGGCUACACACGUGUUACAAUGGGGGGUACAGAAGGCAGCUACCUGGUGACAGGAUGCUAAUCCCAAAAGCCUCUCUCAGUUCGGAUCGAAGUCUGCAACCCGACUUCGUGAAGCUGGAUUCGCUAGUAAUCGCGCAUCAGCCACGGCGCGGUGAAUACGUUCCCGGGCCUUGUACACACCGCCCGUCAAGCCAUGGGAGCCGGGGGUACCUGAAGUACGUAACCGCAAGGAUCGCCCUAGGGUAAAACUGGUGACUGGGGCUAAG
rnacentral:rRNA from 1 species